GUGGGGAAUUUUGGACAAUGGGCGCAAGCCUGAUCCAGCAAUGCCGCGUGCAGGAAGAAGACCUUCGGGUUGUAAACUGCUUUUGUACGGAACGAAACGGUCCGGGUUAAUACCCUGGGCUAAUGACGGUACCGUAAGAAUAAGCACCGGCUAACUACGUGCCAGCAGCCGCGGUAAUACGUAGGGUGCAAGCGUUAAUCGGAAUUACUGGGCGUAAAGCGUGCGCAGGCGGUUUUGUAAGACAGGCGUGAAAUCCCCGGGCUCAACCUGGGAAUUGCGCUUGUGACUGCAAGGCUGGAGUGCGGCAGAGGGGGAUGGAAUUCCGCGUGUAGCAGUGAAAUGCGUAGAUAUGCGGAGGAACACCGAUGGCGAAGGUAAUCCCCUGGGCCUGCACUGACGCUCAUGCACGAAAGCGUGGGGAGCAAACAGGAUUAGAUACCCUUGUAGUCC
rnacentral:rRNA from 1 species